GGGCAAUUGGUCUAGUGGUAUGAUUUCCGCUUCGCAUGUCGUUGACACACGCUUGUGGAAGGUCGCGGGUUCAAUUCCCGUAUUGUCCA